GGCGUUCAGCCCCCUGCAUUUAAGGGAGAGAACUGAGAAUGACGCUGCGUAGUAAGCCAUGGGGGGUAGUGAAGGAAAAUAGAUUGAUAAGGAAAUGGUGGGGAGGGGAAAGGGUGGGUAUCAAAAGAUAGAAUAGGGAGAAGAAUUGUUAAGAAAAGUAAAGAUUCAUGGGGGUACAAAUAAACCCCCUAUGGGCUGUGAUUGCCCAAUAUUAUUCCCUCAACAAUUGGGGGGUACUCGUGUGGCAGUGAAGGCCGAUGACC